rnacentral:rRNA from 1 species
AUGAGGCUUCAUGAGCAUAAUUAUCCUCUUCCUCUUCCCCAUGCACGAGUGGGCGCACCGCCGCCGCCACCGCCUUCCUCGCGGAGUCUGCGAUCGAAGGAUCGGUUGGGGCGCACCGGGUCUAGGCCGGCCUUCUGUGGGGCGCAGUGCGAGCUCUCGGCUCGGGGCAGGAGGUGGCUCGAUGAAGAGGAGCUGGGGCACGGCGCUCCUCUCCUGGUGUGGCGCACGAGGGAAGGAGGAGGGGAUCGACCCAAGACAGGAGCUGAGGCCGGCGGCGCCCUUCACACAAGCCUCACCGGCGGUGCCCUCUACACAAGCCUCACUGGCGGUGCCCUCUACACAAGCCUCACCGGCGGUGCGGCGGGAGAGCUCCUACCCGUCCAUAGGUGCGGGGAUGCAGAUCCGCGUCGCCAGCCUGUACUAGGCCGAGGUUGA